rnacentral:rRNA from 1 species
UACAGAGGGUGCGAGCGUUAAUCGGAAUUACUGGGCGUAAAGCGUGCGUAGAUGGUUAUGUAAGUCGGAUGUGAAAGCCCCGGGCUCAACCUGGGAAUGGCAUUCGAGACUGCAUAGCUAGGAUGCGGAAGAGGGAAGCGGAAUUUCCGGUGUAGCGGUGAAAUGCGUAGAUAUCGGAAGGAACACCAGUGGCGAAAGCGGCUUCCUGGACCAGUACCGACGUUCAGGCACGAAAGCGUGGGGAGCAAACAGG